rnacentral:snoRNA from 1 species
UACCAGUGAGGAAAGGAAACACGUCUUAACCCCAGUCCUGGCCCCGGAGCCAGCAAUGGUGAACCCACUGGGGCUAGCUGGGGGAGAGGAGGAUGGCCUGUUCCGAAGGAACUGUCUGAGGUAC